rnacentral:rRNA from 1 species
GACGAACGCUGGCGGCGUGCUUAACACAUGCAAGUCGAACGGAAAGGCCCUGCUUUUGUGGGGUGCUCGAGUGGCGAACGGGUGAGUAACACGUGAGUAACCUGCCCUUGACUUUGGGAUAACUUCAGGAAACUGGGGCUAAUACCGGAUAGGAGCUCCUGCUGCAUGGUGGGGGUUGGAAAGUUUCGGCGGUUGGGGAUGGACUCGCGGCUUAUCAGCUUGUUGGUGGGGUAGUGGCUUACCAAGGCUUUGACGGGUAGCCGGCCUGAGAGGGUGACCGGCCACAUGGGGACUGAGAGACGGCCCAGACUCCUACGGGAGGCAGCAGUGGGGAAUAUUGCACAAUGGUCGGAAGCCUGAUGCAGCAACGCCGCGUGCGGGAUGACGGCCUUCGGGUUGUAAACCGCUUUCGCCUGUGACGAAGCGUGAGUGACGGUAAUGGGUAAAGAAGCACCGGCUAACUACGUG